rnacentral:rRNA from 1 species
UACGAAGGGGGCUAGCGUUGCUCGGAAUCACUGGGCGUAAAGCGCACGUAGGCGGAUUGUUAAGUCGGGGGUGAAAUCCUGAGGCUCAACCUCAGAACUGCCUUCGAUACUGGCAAUCUCGAGUCCGGAAGAGGUUGGUGGAACAGCUAGUGUAGAGGUGAAAUUCGUAGAUAUUAGCUAGAACACCGGUGGCGAAGGCGCACAUCUGGCCCGAUACUGACGCUGAAGCGCGAAAGCUAGGGGAGCAAACGGG